AACAGUAGGGAAAAGGAGGAAGAAAAAACUACUAAGGACAAAUAUGAAGUGAUCAAAUUGUAUAGUAUGAAGAAAGUUUAGGAUGAAGAGCUUUUGAGAAAUGUCAAGAACAGCAAAGAAGAGUGUUAAAAGAUAUGUUUGGAGUAAGGGGAGAAAAACAAGGAGGGACUGAGAUUAGAGUGGAUAAGAAAAAGUCUAUUUCACUCCUGUUUUGCUUCAAAAGAACCAACCACCACUAAGAAAAAAGUUGUAGUCCAAGCUAGUAAACAAAGAACUGGGUGGCAGAAGUGAGGAGAGGAGUGAGACCUAAGAAAGAAGGUUGAAGAUUAGGAAGAACAUGAGAAAAUGUAGAGAGGAGGAGCAAAAGGAGUCAGAAACCAGGUUGUUUUAGAACAUCCACUAUUUCUCCUCUACCGAAGGCAUUAAGGAAAUGUAUUUUGCAUUGAUACAGGGAAUACCCACCAAAAAAUGACAAAAUUUUAGAUAUUUUGAAGCAAGGUAAAGUACAUGGUAAGGACUUCUGGCAAUAAAUUUUGUGGACCCCUAAAAAUGUACCACGGAUAGACAGUGAGACAAACA